rnacentral:misc_RNA from 1 species
GAUGAAGAACGUAGCGAAACGCGAUAAGUAAUGUGAAUUGCAGAAUUCCGUGAAUCAUCGAAUCUUUGAACGCAUAUUGCGCCCUCUGGCAUUCCGGGGGGCAUGCCUGUCCGAGCGUCAUUAUUUAUCUUCAAGCACGGCUUGUCUAAUGGGCGGUUCGUCUGCGGCCAUCCGCCGGAGACGCCCCCGAAAUGCAGUGGGGAUGUUCGCUAAAUCGCAGCGUCAGGAAUGGAAAUAAACAAUGCUGACGGCUCGAUGUCGAACGUCCACCUAAGGCGUGCCGCCCCCCGGGGUGUGCCGCCCAACCUCUCUCGGUUGACCUCGGAUCAGGUAGGGAUACCCGCUGAACUUAAGCAUAUCAAUAAGCGGAGGA